rnacentral:rRNA from 1 species
UACAGAGGGUGCAAGCGUUGCUCGGAAUCAUUGGGCGUAAAGGGCAGGUAGGUGGUCUCAUUUGUCUGGGGUGGAAGCCUUGAGCUUAACUCAAGAAGUGCCCCAGAAACGGUGAGACUAGAGUCUUGGAGGGGGUCGCGGAAUUCCCGGUGUAGCGGUGAAAUGCGUAGAGAUCGAGAGGAACACCAGAGGCGAAAGCGGCGACCUGGACAAGUACUGACACUCAACUGCGAAAGCGUGGGGAGCAAACAGG